rfam:Bombyx mori DNA, contig: Bm_scaf43_contig24135, strain: p50T/Dazao, build 2, whole genome shotgun sequence.
UUAACUCAAAUUUGUAUAGAGUUGGAAGAGUUUCCUUUUAUUUGCCGCUAAGGACGCUGUUCCAAUUCCAUACAAAUUUGAGUAA